rnacentral:rRNA from 1 species
ACGGGAGGCAGCAGUGAGGAAUAUUGGUCAAUGGGCGAGAGCCUGAACCAGCCAAGUCGCGUGAAGGAAGACGGUUCUAUGGAUUGUAAACUUCUUUUGCAUGAGGGUAAAGUGACCUACGUGUAGGUUAUUGCAAGUAUCAUGUGAAUAAGCAUCGGCUAACUCCGUGCCAGCAGCCGCGGUAAUACGGAGGAUGCGAGCGUUAUCCGGAUUUAUUGGGUUUAAAGGGUGCGUAGGCGGGCUGUUAAGUCAGCGGUGAAAGUUUGCGGCUCAACCGUAAAAUUGCCGUUGAAACUGGCGGUCUUGAGUGUAAACGAGGUAGGCGGAAUGUGAUGUGUAGCGGUGAAAUGCUUAGAUAUGUCACAGAACUCCGAUUGCGAAGGCAGCUUACCAGGAUACAACUGACGCUGAGGCACGAAAGCGUGGGUAUCAAACAGGAUUAGAUACCCUGGUA